UAUAUGUAAACAUGUCUAAGUAAAUCCCAUUAAGCUCUUAAUUCCAUCCACUUGAAAGAUACCUGUCAUAGGAUAACCCAACAAACAUAAAGGGAAAUGCGUCUUGCAUAGAAAUAGGAAAAUCAUUCAAACCCUAGCAAACCUUUCUGCACCCAAAAGAUGGAUCUACGGCUUUGCAAAAGGCCCUUCCCUUGUUCAAGAGAAAGCG
rnacentral:misc_RNA from 1 species